rnacentral:lncRNA from 1 species
UAUUAAUCUGUCAUAGUUUCCCUCAUUAUUUAAACCCUCAAAUCUUUCACUUUUUUCUUCAAACCAAUUUCGUUGCAUUUCAAAAAUUUUAUAACUCUCUUUCUGUCUUUUUUUUUCAAGAAGAAAGAGAGAAAAUCUUUGAAUUUUCUUUGAUUUUGCCAUAUAUAGGGUGAUAUAAUGGCAAAGAAGUUGGUAAAUAUGAAGCCAUGGAUUGAGGUGGCACCAUCACUUCUUGCUUCACCAGCAAAACCUAGUUCUCAAUCUCCAAAGCUUGAGACUAUCAAUGAAGAUGAUGGAGAUGAUAAAAAUACCUCAAAAUUUUAGAUUUAAUUUCUUCAAAAAUUUCUAGAUUUUUAUUUCCUCCUCUAGAGUUUUUUCUGGUUAAGGGGAGGAAAAUAAGAUCCAUCCUAUAUUAGUGUAACGGCCAAAGAUUUUUGCCCAUUGCAUGGAUUGAGUAGUAUUAGUUGUUAGAACAAACAAUGUAACACUUUAUCGUCAACAAGAUUAUGUACGUAUAAAACAGAAAUAAAAUCUAUAUGAUCUGAUUCUUCUUCUUGUGUACUUUUUGAGAAUCAAUGUGUUUUAUCUA